CCACAGCAGGCCAGCUUAUUCUUAGACCUGACAGUGCCCUGUGGAGGUGCCCCUGACACCCUCCAAGACACACAACGAGCUCUGGCUAGCAGCCCAUGAGCAGAAGUGACCUGCCGCAGAUCUGUGUGGCUGUAAGAGCCACGACAUGACCUCUGUCUCCUGCCCUCACCUGCCUGUCUGGAGAUUGGCGCGUUCCAGAUGGCCACGGCUGACUCAGCCUGGGUCCCAGAAUGAGGGUGGCGUGAAGAGCACAGCCACACUGUGCCAACAGGACACAUAAGCAGGGGUCAAACACAGCUGAUCGGCUGGGGCUUGGGGCUCAUUUGUACCUGCAGCAAACCCAGCAAAGCUGACCAGCAAGCUGUGGAUGGACGGAGUCUAUAAACAGACGGUAGGAGCUGUCCUCUGAGGAUGUCUGCCCUACUCAGAUAAAGGCAAAUGCAUCUGUAUGUUUACCUCCAGUUUUGUGCCACAUAAGAAUGGAGUUCAGGACAUGGCCCUCCAGCAUACACAGAAGACUGUUCUGACCCCCUUUCUGUUUCUUAAAAGCAGAAAAUGAGACUAGGGCUGUGGCUCAGUGGCAGAGCACUUGCUUUGCAUGCACCAGUCCCGACUCCCAAGCGCCAGGUCCUGGCGCUCACCUAAAAAGGAAAACAACAAGAAACCAAACAGAUGGAGAGUUUACCACGUGAAGUUCCUCCCUCCCCGGCCCACUGGAAGUAAAAGCAACAUCCUUAUCUUCAUUCAACGAGAAGCUGCAGCCAUCGCAAGAAUUCUGCACUGGCUUUGUUAAAACAACUACUUUCUGGCCUGUAAUCCCAGCUCAGGAGGCUGAGGCAAGAGGAUCGCAAGUUCGUGCCAGCCUCAUUCAGCAAUUUAUCGAGGCCCUAAGAAACUUAGCCAGACCCUGUCUCAAAAACAAGCAAACCCUCUGACCUUCUCCCUACCCUCAAUUUAGUUAACCUCUUCCCAACUUCCUAUUCUUUGUCCAGCGGAGUGAAGAAGACCGGCUUCUAACUGCUUCUUUGUGUUCUUUAUUUCCUUGGGAGGAUUCCUGUGCCCAGGCUCCAAGUCCAC
rnacentral:lncRNA from 1 species